rnacentral:rRNA from 1 species
AUACGUAGGGGGCAAGCGUUGUCCGGAAUUAUUGGGCGUAAAGAGCGUGUAGGCUGUCCGGUAAGUCCGCUGUGAAAGUCCAGGGCUCAACCCUGGAAUGCCGGUGGAUACUGCCGGGCUAGAGUCCGGAAGAGGCGAGUGGAAUUCCUGGUGUAGCGGUGAAAUGCGCAGAUAUCAGGAGGAACACCGAUGGCGAAGGCAGCUCGCUGGGACGGUACUGACGCUGAGACGCGAAAGCGUGGGGAGCAAACAGGA